GCUUAAAUAGUUUAAUUUUAAAAUAUUAAUCUUGUAAAUUAAAGAUAAUUUUAAGUA
rnacentral:tRNA from 1 species